AGGUGCUGCUGCUAGCCGUUCAUAUAUCUGGCAUUUCCUGGCAUUUCCUGGAAUCUUCAACAAAGAGUCUCGAUGAAUGGGAGAGCUCCAAUCUGACACAACAUCCUCUUGGAAUGGAAUUCCUGUUCUUCAAUGCAAGCUCUACUCUGCUAUGUAAGGAUCCUUUCAACAGACAACACAGAUUACAUGUAAUCACCAAACUGAUAGGAGUUUAAUUUCUCGAUGCGAUUCAACCCCAAUGUCGAACAUCAAGUCGGAACAAGUCUUGAAAAAUCCCGUGGAGGAUU